GAUGAACGCUGGCGGCGUGCUUAACACAUGCAAGUCGAACGUGAGAGGUAGCAAUAUCUUGAAAGUGGCGCACGGGUGAGUAACACGUAGGUAACCUGCCUCGGAGUGGGGGAUAACAGUUAGAAAUGACUGCUAAUACCGCAUGAAUCCAUUAAGAUGGGAAUGUUGAUGGAGAAAACUCUGGUGCUUCGAGAGGGGCCUGCGGUCGAUUAGCUAGUUGGUGGGUAACGGCCCACCAAGGCGACGAUCGAUAGCUGGUCUGAGAGGACGAUCAGCCACACGGGAACUGAGACACGGUCCCGACUCCGUACGGGGGCAGCAGUGAGGAAUAUUGGGCAAUGGGCGGAAGCCUGACCCAGCAACGCCGCGUGGAGGAAUG
rnacentral:rRNA from 1 species